AGCUCAGUUGGAAGAGCAAAGGACUGAAA
rnacentral:tRNA from 1 species